rnacentral:rRNA from 1 species
UAAGAAUUUAAAAGUCGAACAGACUCACUCAUAAGAAGGCUGCUUCUUAAAAUUUUCUUAAUUCAACAUCGAGGUCGCAAAAUACAAUAUAGAUAUGAACUCCCCAUUGAAAUUACGCUGUUAUCCCUAAGGUAACUUAAUCUUAUUUCCAUUUUUAGGAUCUAAAAUAACAUACACAAAUGAAUAUAAAAACUAAAGUUAAACAUUUAGCCGCCACCCCAGCAAAAUAUAAGAUUAAAUUAAAAAAUAUUAUAAUAAAAAUUAAUAAUAUAAAAUUAUAUAAAGUUCUAUAGGGUCUUAUCGUCCCAAUAACUCAAUAAAGCAUUUUAACUUUAAAUUUAAAUUUUAACAUUUAAAAAAAUAAAAUAUAAUUCUCAUACAUCCAUUCAUACAAGCUUCCAAUUAAAAAACUAAUUACUAUGCUACCUUUGCACAGUCAAAAUACUGCAGCCAUUUAGCAAUUUAAGCCAUAGGGSAGAAGAUACUUUUCAUAAAAACA